UACGCAGGGGGCUAGCGUUGCUCGGAAUCACUGGGCGUAAAGGGUGCGUAGGCGGGUCUUUAAGUCAGGGGUGAAAUCCUGGAGCUCAACUCCAGAACUGCCUUUGAUACUGAGGAUCUUGAGUUCGGGAGAGGUGAGUGGAACUGCGAGUGUAGAGGUGAAAUUCGUAGAUAUUCGGAAGAACACCAGUGGCGAAGGCGGCUCACUGGACCGGUUCUGACGCUGAGGCGCGAAAGCGUGGGGAGCAAACGGG
rnacentral:rRNA from 1 species